rnacentral:rRNA from 1 species
GACGAACUUUUGCGGCGUGCUAAACACAUGCAAGUCGAACGGAAAGGCCCUGCUUUUGUGGGGUGCUCGAGUGGCGAACGGGUGAGUAACACGUGAGUAACCUGCCCUUGACUUUGGGAUAACUUCAGGAAACUGGGGCUAAUACCGGAUAGGAGCUCCUGCUGCAUGGUGGGGGUUGGAAAGUUUCGGCGGUUGGGGAUGGACUCGCGGCUUAUCAGCUUGUUGGUGGGGUAGUGGCUUACCAAGGCUUUGACGGGUAGCCGGCCUGAGAGGGUGACCGGCCACAUUGGGACUGAGAUACGGCCCAGACUCCUACGGGAGGCAGCAGUGGGGAAUAUUGCACAAUGGGCGGAAGCCUGAUGCAGCAACGCCGCGUGCGGGAUGACGGCCUUCGGGUUGUAAACCGCUUUCGCCUGUGACGAAGCGUGAGUGACGGUAAUGGGUAAAGAAGCACCGGCUAACUACGUGCCAGCAGCCGCGGUGAUACGUAGGGUGCGAGCGUUGUCCGGAUUUAUUGGGCGUAAAGGGCUCGUAGGUGGUUGAUCGCGUCGGAAGUGUAAUCUUGGGGCUUAACCCUGAGCGUGCUUUCGAUACGGGUUGACUUGAGGAAGGUAGGGGAGAAUGGAAUUCCUGGUGGAGCGGUGGAAUGCGCAGAUAUCAGGAGGAACACCAGUGGCGAAGGCGGUUCUCUGGGCCUUUCCUGACGCUGAGGAGCGAAAGCGUGGGGAGCGAACAGGCUUAGAUACCCUGGUAGUCCACGCUGUAAACGGUGGGUACUAGGUGUGGGGUCCAUUCCACGGGUUCCGUGCCGUAGCUAACGCUUUAAGUACCCCGCCUGGGGAGUACGGCCGCAAGGCUAAAACUCAAAGGAAUUGACGGGGCCCCGCACAAGCGGCGGAGCAUGCGGAUUAAUUCGAUGCAACGCGUAGAACCUUACCUGGGUUUGACAUGGAUCGGGAGUGCUCAGAGAUGGGUGUGCCUCUUUUGGGGUCGGUUCACAGGUGGUGCAUGGCUGUCGUCAGCUCGUGUCGUGAGAUGCUGGGUUAAGUCCCGCAACGAGCGCAACCCUUGUUCACUGUUGCCAGCACGUUAUGGUGGGGACUCAGUGGAGACCGCCGGGGUCAACUCGGAGGAAGGUGGGGAUGACGUCAAGUCAUCAUGCCCCUUAUGUCCAGGGCUUCACGCAUGCUACAAUGGCUGGUACAGAGAGUGGCGAGCCUGUGAGGGUGAGCGAAUCUCGGAAAGCCGGUCUCAGUUCGGAUUGGGGUCUGCAACUCGACCUCAUGAAGUCGGAGUCGCUAGUAAUCGCAGAUCAGCAACGCUGCGGUGAAUACGUUCCCGGGGCU